rnacentral:rRNA from 1 species
UACGUAGGGUGCAGGCGUUAAUCGGAAUUACUGGGCGUAAAGCGUGCGCAGGCGGUUUGCUAAGACAGAUGUGAAAUCCCCGGGCUCAACCUGGGAACUGCAUUUGUGACUGCACAGCUGGAGUGCGGCAGAGGGGGAUGGAAUUCCGCGUGUAGCAGUGAAAUGCGUAGAUAUGCGGAGGAACACCGAUGGCGAAGGCAAUCCCCUGGGCCUGCACUGACGCUCAUGCACGAAAGCGUGGGGAGCAAACAGG